rnacentral:lncRNA from 1 species
AAGGAGUAUGGGUCUUGGCUGCAGAUGGACGAACUCCAUGGCAAAUUUUCUAUGUAUUUGAAAUUUAGGGGACAGGAGGAAGAAUUAAUGGGGGAGGUUUUUCCUGAAGCUGCUGUGAAGAAGAUGAAGAAAAGAGAAAUGAAGACCGGAGAGUUUUUGGUGUUCACCAACAUUAUAUGUGGAAUAUUUUUGCAGUUAACAGUACAGAAGCUUUGCUACCUACAAUGGCGGACCGGCUACAGUAAUUUUGUUUUCCC